UACGGGGGGGGGCAAGCGUUGUUCGGAAUUACUGGGCGUAAAGGGCUCGUAGGCGGCCAACUAAGUCCGACGUGAAAUCCCCAGGCUUAACCUGGGAACUGCGUCGGAUACUGGAUGGCUUGAAUCCGGGAGAGGGAUGCGGAAUUCCAGGUGUAGCGGUGAAAUGCGUAGAUAUCUGGAGGAACACCGGUGGCGAAGGCGGCAUCCUGGACCGGCAUUGACGCUGAUGAGCGAAAGCCAGGGGAGCGAACGGGG
rnacentral:rRNA from 1 species